rnacentral:rRNA from 1 species
AGAGUUUGAUCCUGGCUCAGAUUGAACGCUGGCGGCAUGCCUUACACAUGCAAGUCGAACUGUAGCACGGAGCUUGCUCUGGUGGCGAGUGGCGAACGGGUGAGUAAUAUAUCGGAACGUACCCUAGAGUGGGGGAUAACGUAGCGAACGUUACGCUAAUACCGCAUACGAUCUAAGGAUGAAAGUGGGGGAUCGCAAGACCUCAUGCUCGUGGAGCGGCCGAUAUCUGAUUAGCUAGUUGGUAGGGUAAAAGCCUACCAAGGCAUCGAUCAGUAGCUGGUCUGAGAGGACGAGCAGCCACACUGGAACUGAGACACGGUCCAGACUCCUACGGGAGGCAGCAGUGGGGAAUUUUGGACAAUGGGCGAAAGCCUGAUCCAGCAAUGCCGCGUGAGUGAAGAAGGCCUUCGGGUUGUAAAGCUCUUUUGUCAGGGAAGAAACGGUGAGAGCUAAUAUCUCUUGCUAAUGACGGUACCUGAAGAAUAAGCACCGGCUAACUACGUGCCAGCAGCCGCGGUAAUACGUAGGGUGCAAGCGUUAAUCGGAAUUACUGGGCGUAAAGCGUGCGCAGGCGGUUUUGUAAGUCUGAUGUGAAAUCCCCGGGCUCAACCUGGGAAUUGCAUUGGAGACUGCAAGGAUAGAAUCUGGCAGAGGGGGGUAGAAUUCCACGUGUAGCAGUGAAAUGCGUAGAUAUGUGGAGGAACACCGAUGGCGAAGGCAGCCCCAUGGGUCAAGAUUGACGCUCAUGCACGAAAGCGUGGGGAGCAAACAGGAUUAGAUACCCUGGUAGUCCACGCCCUAAACGAUGUCUACUAGUUGUCGGGUCUUAAUUGACUUGGUAACGCAGCUAACGCGUGAAGUAGACCGCCUGGGGAGUACGGUCGCAAGAUUAAAACUCAAAGGAAUUGACGGGGACCCGCACAAGCGGUGGAUGAUGUGGAUUAAUUCGAUGCAACGCGAUAAACCUUACCUACCCUUGACAUGGCUGGAUCCCGGAGAGAUUUGGGAGUGCUCGAAAGAGAACCAGUACACAGGUGCUGCAUGGCU